rnacentral:rRNA from 1 species
AUGCUUGAUUAUUAUGUGCUUGUCUGCUUGAUAGGUAGAACACCUCUGUUUUUUGCAAUAUGCUCUACGGAUGUGGCCCAUGUGGCUAUUGCGAAGUAUCUUCUUGAUCAUGGUGCUAAUCUGGACAAAGCCGGUCAUGAUGACUUUUCCCCUUUACAUUAUGCUGCUGGAUCAGGGGAUUGUGAAAUGGUAGAACUAUUGCUUGCAAAAGGAGCUUAUGUUGACCCGGUAGGUCCUUUUGGAACGCCACUUCAUACUGCUGCUUCGCAAAGGCACGACGCUGUUAUGAAGAUUUUAUUGGGCAACAAUGCAGAUUACAACAAGAUGGUAAAUGGCAGGACACCUCUGAUUGCAGCAAUGGACACUGAAUCAAGGGAAUGUAUUCUUCUCCUGCUUAAGGCUGGUGCUGAUACCAAGGGAGCUUUAAUUCAUGCUGCGAAAAAUCUACAUUCUGGAAAAUUUAUUUCAACAGAUUGCUGCAACUCCUUACUGGAAGAUGCCGAUACCAACGGUAUUGUUGUUGAUGAUAUAAGAUUUACCUCUUUGACAGUACAAGUUUGUUGCUUGUAG